UGAGGAAUAUUGGUCAAUGGACGGAAGUCUGAACCAGCCAUGCCGCGUGCAGGAAGACGGCUCUAUGAGUUGUAAACUGCUUUUGUACGAGGGUAAACGCAGAUACGUGUAUCUGCCUGAAAGUAUCGUACGAAUAAGGAUCGGCUAACUCCGUGCCAGCAGCCGCGGUAAUACGGAGGAUCCAAGCGUUAUCCGGAUUUAUUGGGUUUAAAGGGUGCGUAGGCGGUUUAGUAAGUCAGCGGUGAAAUUUUGGUGCUUAACACCAAACGUGCCGUUGAUACUGCUGGGCUAGAGAGUAGUUGCGGUAGGCGGAAUGUAUGGUGUAGCGGUGAAAUGCUUAGAGAUCAUACAGAACACCGAUUGCGAAGGCAGCUUACCAAACUAUAUCUGACGUUGAGGC
rnacentral:rRNA from 1 species